UACGUAGGGUGCGAGCGUUAAUCGGAAUUACUGGGCGUAAAGCGUGCGCAGGCGGUUUUGUAAGCCAGAUGUGAAAUCCCCGGGCUUAACCUGGGAAUGGCAUUUGGGACUGCAAGGCUGGAGUUUGGCAGAGGAGACUGGAAUUCCUGGUGUAGCAGUGGAAAUGCGUAGAUAUCAGGAGGAAUACCGAUGGCGGAAGGCAGGUCUCUGG
rnacentral:rRNA from 1 species